rnacentral:rRNA from 1 species
UUUUAAAUAAAAUUAAUUAAUAGGAAAUUAAAUGAAAUCAUUAGAUUUAAAUAAUUUGACGGUAUUUUAAAUAGUUAGAGGAAUUUGUUAGUUAAAUGAUAAUCCACGAAUGGAAUGUCCUAUUAAAAAUUUUAUGUAUUGUUGUAUGAAAAUUAUUUUAAGAGAAUUAUAAUUAAAAUAUUUAAUUUAAUUUGAAUUCAAAUCAAAAUGUAGAAUUAAUAGGUUAUAAUGAGUUACAAUUUAAUAUAAUAUAAUAUUUAUUUUUUUAAUUAAAAUAAUUCAUUAGGAUUUAAAAGUAAACUUAAAAAAAUUUUUAAGUUGAAAUAAUAAUUAAAAUAUG